GCAGUUGUGGCCUAAUGGUUAGAGAGUUGGACUUGUCACCUGAAGGUCAUGGGUUCAAGCCUCACUUCACUUCA